CCUUCAACUUAACCAGGCCACACCUCUGCAGUGGAGCCCAUCACUUCAACAGCCAUCGUUCCAGGACACACUCUAGAAUCCAGCAUGCUUUUGGAAUGAUGAAGACCAGGUUCGAGGCCAUCUUCCUGCAAACAGAUGCACCACACCUUGGUAUCUGAUUGGACAAUGGAAAGAAGCAUCCCAAACACUCUCUACAGCCCACCCUGUGUGACCACCCUGUGCUUACCAAAACCAGACUUCCUGUUCAGGCAAAUAUCAGGUGAAUUACAGAAACAUGUGGAAGGAGCUGCGCACCAUUUUACAUAGACACAGCUGGAAGUUGUUUUGUCACCACGGACCAUGGUGAGAAGUCAUUGCACGGGAGCUGGGAAUCAUCACAAGGAGAGAUCACUCACUGUGAUUAAUUUGCACCGUUUAUCUUGAUUUACUGUAAAUAAGCACACUUUCAGAAACCUGACAGAUAAUUCGAGAAACAGCCAACUGCCUGGUUUGAAAGGCCUAUUUCCAGUAAUCGUUGGCAUAAAGUGCCAUGGUCAACAGUGUCAAACGCUUUUGAUGGAUCAUAUAAAAAGAGCUGCAGAGUAGAUCUUUGCGUCCAGGGCUUCACUGAGAACUUUUAGGGAGGCAGUUACAGUACUGUGCAGUUUUCUAAAACCAGAUUGGAAAGGAGAUAAAAUACUAUUUUAAUCCAGAUAAUUUUUAAGUUGAUUAUUUACCAGCCUUUCAAGAAUCUUAGGUACGACACAAAGUUUGGAAAUUGGCCAGUAGUUAUUAGUCAUGGAAGAACCAUCACCUUUCCAUAGGGGGAGUACGAAGGUGCACCUCCACAUCCCUGCUAAAGUGUUCUGUUGUAUAGAAAGAUUAAAAAUAUAAAAAAAAACUGGCUCAGCUAUGAUAUUUGUAGCCAGGCAAAAGACAAAAGGAGAACCGGCUGACCUUUUGGCCCUGCAGUGUCCUCGGGGAUAGAAACAAUUAGGACAGGAGGCCUAGUUGAAGAGCUCUCUCCCAGCACCUCAUUCAUAAGGACAAACCAGGUCAGCUGCAGUGGGCUUCUCACUGACUCCCUCUCCUGAACUAGAUCCUUUCAAUCCUGAAGACAAAGGAAAUCAAAAAGGCAGCUGACAAAAAGACUAAAAAUAAACAUAAACUUCUUUUUAAAGAUCAUUGGUUCAUAGAACUAAAAAGAGGAAGAAUACUGUCUGGAACAAUAUAUCCUGGCUGCAAUGAUAUCAAACGUUCUGUAUAGGAUGAGGGUUAAUAAAACUGUACUCGUGUGCACAAGAUGCUUAUGAGUGUAGUUUAAACUGACAGAUUAUUUACUCUCAUACUUCAGAACCACAGUGGCAGAAUCUUUGGUGAAAAGGAAAUUUUCAUCUGUCAUUUGGAUGAAAUGAGCUGUUGGAACCUAAAACACGAUGUUUAAAUUCUUACUUUAUAUGAAGCCCCCCCACCCACCCACCCCCCAAAAAGAGCUUAAUUUCAGAAAAUCACAAAUAGCUGUGUAUAUACGUCCUGUAAAACUUCCAUGCAAAUGCUAAAAACAUAACAAUCAAAGGGUUUUAAGCUUUUAAUUGUUAUUCCACUAUAUAGUCAUGUACUUACAUGUAAAAAUACAUUUAUUUUCUCUGUCUCCUGCUGCUACGGUACCACCAUUUUUAAAAUCUUUGACCAUGCCAGUCACAUACUUCACCAGGCUCAUUUUGACCCCUUGUCAUUUUAAUCAUCCUGUAACUAAUUUAAAACCCCAUCGUCUCAAAGGGGACAUGAUUUUAACCGUACAUGAAUUUGAACCCAUAAUAAAGACACUGCCAAGUUACCUAACAACAUGAUUGUUUAUACACAAUUUGGCUAGUUAAAUUGGUUGAUAAAUAAAUAUAUAUAAGAUUAUGACUAAAUAAAACACGAGAAAAUACUGCAUUACUGCAAUUGCUGAGAGGCUGGAGAUAGUUGAUCAAAGCCAAAUGUGGAAUGAUAAACUUUGACUGUUUUUCUUUUUCAGUAAUUAUCUAAAAUGUGUUUCUUCAUUUUUCUGGCCAGAGUGAGGUCAGUUUAAAAAUAGAGCCUACAAAAAAAAUGCUUCAUGUUACCCGAAAUUCAUUUUUUACUUCCAUAACGUUCUUCUUCUGUAACAAUUAUAUUAUUUGUAUGUGUCAUUUAUUUUUGUAUUUGUUAUAUCCUUAUGUAUUUUUGAUGA